rnacentral:rRNA from 1 species
AUUGAACGCUGGCGGAAUGCUUUACACAUGCAAGUCGAACGGCAGCAUAGGUGCUUGCACCUGAUGGCGAGUGGCGAACGGGUGAGUAAUACAUCGGAACGUGCCCAGUCGUGGGGGAUAACGUAGCGAAAGUUACGCUAAUACCGCAUACGAUCUAAGGAUGAAAGCGGGGGACCGUAAGGCCUCGCGCGAUUGGAACGGCCGAUGUCAGAUUAGGUAGUUGGUGGGGUAAAGGCCCACCAAGCCAACGAUCUGUAGCUGGUCUGAGAGGACGACCAGCCACACUGGGACUGAGACACGGCCCAGACUCCUACGGGAGGCAGCAGUGGGGAAUUUUGGACAAUGGGCGCAAGCCUGAUCCAGCCAUUCCGCGUGCAGGACGAAGGCCUUCGGGUUGUAAACUGCUUUUGUACGGAGCGAAAAGCCUUGGGUUAAUACCUCGAGGCCAUGACGGUACCGUAAGAAUAAGCACCGGCUAACUACGUGCCAGCCGCCGCAGUAA